GUUUUCCUAAAAUAGCCUUUCCCAAAUGUUCUAUAAAUCGAUCAGGUACAUGCUUUAUUUGACAUAAGUGUUUGCUUAGUAAAGAAUAACUGCAGGUCUAGUACAUCUUUUUGUGAAUAUAAACACGUCAGUGCACUGGUUGUGUGGGUUCAUUCGUAUAGAGUAUAAGGGAACUUCAUUAUGGCCUUGUGGAAUGAGUGUGGAUUCAGUUUCCACAAUGGAAACUCUAGCAAACUGGUGCAGGGAACUGCUUUACAGGUGCGUUCGGUUGUACAUCUGACUGACUGAUGGACUUGCACAGAGCUGAGACGUCAGCACAGGGAUCAUGCAUCUCCCUGUUAUUAGAAGAAUGAGGACUGUUCAUCUGACAUGAGGGAUCCAGAAAGGCAAUUUGCUUGCAUCCUGCUGCCUCUUUAAUUUGGACUAGAUUGACGCCAGAUUUUAAAAGCUAAAAUGACAUCUGAGCCACAUGUGGCAAUACAGAAGAGAGGUUUAUGCAAAGAAAAAGGGGGGGAAGCAAUGUGCAUAUGGGACAUGGGGCAGUGGAGCAGGGCAAGUCAGCUGCCACUGCGCUGGUUUCGUCACGGUUGGAUGUGUACUGGUAUCCGCAUUACUCUGUGUGCAUUUGCAUCAAGUAGUGUGGCAUAUGCUGUGUAGUAAUUUUCUUAAGAAUGUGGGUCAGGUUAAGUAUUUUAUGUCAUUGUUAUUAUUCACAUGCUGUGAAUGUCACAUGCACUAAAGGCUUUGCUGGACCGGUGUUAAUUACUUUGCCAUCUGAUGGUUUUGGGAAAGUAACUUAUUUUGCUCAUCGCCUCCGUGUUUCUGACCUUGUGAAAAAGUCCCUACCUACCCCCUCUCCUCUUAGGAGCACUGGAAGUUUUAGUUUGCGGAACUGUGACAGACUGACACCUCAAACACAGGUGACCAUGGAGCUGGGAAAUAUUAUUAUCAGGGAUGUUAUUCUUGUGGACAUUCUGUGUGUUCCCACCUGAGAACAUCCAUUUGCUGAUAGAGAAGGAAGCGAGUGUAUUGCAUAAGAGAGCAAACUAGGAAAAUUGUGGGCUGUGCAUCACAAGAUACUUGGCAUUCUCUGCAGUGUUUGUGUACCGCGAUGGGAGUGCCGGCCUCAUUAACCAGCUACCAUAAGUGGGCAGCAUUCCAGUCCCAGCGUACAAGACUGCCCUGCGGGCCUGCGGGGAGAAAUGUGCUGACUAAACACUCCAUACGUGCCAUGCAUUCGUGUCCCCGUGCAGCACUGCGCGCUGGCUCGCGUGGUCGUGGGGCCGUCGUGUUCCCAGGAGAAAUGGGGCAUCUCCGAGUGCUCCUGUGUGGCAGCGGGUGACCCGCCCGUGCGCUGCUCCAGCAGCAAGGCUGAAAGAAGAGGCCGAGCUGCACACGCCGAACCACAGGGGAACCCGGGGCUGUGUUAGCACAGGACUGCAACCUUGGGUGUCCCACAGAGCUGCCGCCUGCGUCAUCCAGGGCGACCACUGCGGAGAUGUUCCGAGAUACCAAGAGCAGACGUUUGUGAGCGUGUCAUGGGGAGGCUGAGUCACCUUUGUGAUUUCAUGGAGCAUCUCCCUUGUGAGGAAAGGCUGAGGGAGCUGGGUCUCUUUAGCUUGGAGACGAGGAGACUGAGGGGUGACCUCAUUAAUGUUUACAGAUAUAUGAAGGGUCAAUGGGAAGGAUCUUCGAAAUGGGACUGAAGGAGGAUGGCUGGAGUGACGUGUUCAUCCUGCAGGACCUCACCUCCUGGAGCCCUAUAAGAUCUAAUCUUUUGCCACAACACCGAAAGUUGGCCGCUGUGACCAGAAACACCGCUGAGUCCCAGCAGCAGUGAGGGAAGUAAUGGUGCCAGGUUCAUAGGGCUGGAUUUUCCUGUGUGCUCAGCUGACCUUUUGGCACCUUUUAGCAUCCCUCCCAUGGGAGCAUCCCUGCCGUGACCAGCGUCCCUGCCGUCACCAGCGUCCCUGCCGUGACCAGCGUCCCUGCCGUGACCAGUGUCCCUGCCGUGACCAGUGUCCCUGUCAUGACCAGCGUCCCUGUCGUGACCAGCAUCCCUGCCGUGACCAGCAUCCCUGCCGUCACCAGCGUCCCUGUCGUGACCAGCAUCCCUGCCGUGACCAGUGUCCCUGUCGUGACCAGCGUCCCUGCCGUCACCAGCGUCCCUGCUGUGACCAGCGUCCCUGCCGCGACCAGCGUCCCUGCCGCGACCAGCACCGCUCGGCUGACGGCAAGCUGGGGCUGGGAGAGGAGCCCAGCAGCCAACAGGAAUUCCAUUGCAAACUGAAACUUGAGGGCAGUUCUGCCAUCCAAGAACACUGACUCUGCUUAGCCAUGAGGAGAUUUUGUGCCCUGUAAUCCCACAUUGAUCUGGAUUACUUUUUUAUUUAAAGAAACUGACCUCCAGCAGCAAUGCCAGGUCUCUCUGGCCCAGCGAGUGAGUCCUGAGCCCAAGAAACAAAAGUUCUCUCUAAAAAAAAAUACAGCGGUGCCCAAUAUUUGACCUCAAUUAAAAGGUCAAGAAAAACAGGAGAGCGUUACCUUGUGUAGGUGUUAACAUUUAUUAGUAGAUUCGGUAUUUUAACAAGCCUUAUUAAUUCUGUAUCUAAAUCAAUUAAUUAAGGGUUACCAAAUAAACGGCACAUUUGCUAAGAAAUAAGGCAUUGUUAAAAUUCUGGCUUCUCAUUUCUAGCAUCCAGCCCCAUCUCUUUUGUUUUUAAAGAAAGAAUUAACCCAAGACACAGGAAAUCUGUGUUCACGGCUCUGCUGUGACACAGACCUCGCGUGUCUCUGGGUACGUUCGGCCUCUGUGUCAAACGCGCUGCAGAACGCCUGUGCCUCCCGAGGCGUCAGGACGCAGAGCGAGGUGAUGCUCCGGUGCCGCACCCGCGAGGACACGGUGGUCGUACGACGUGCAGGAGUAAAGAAAGGGGAAGAAUACCAAAGGCACAGUAAGAGCUCAGGGCCCGUUUGCCCUGACUCACAGUGCGUGUCGUGCAAGACUCCCAAGGUCCCGUUCCUCUGUAAAUGCCACUCUCAUGCAUUUUCCUAAACAUUCUCGCAUGCCCCUGCUAAUUUUAGCCUCUAUACUGCACUGAAAAGGUCUCUUGGGCACCCUCAGGUAUUUCACGUGACUCUGUAAAGUCAGGCAAUGCUCACUUAAGUAAAUUCAUCUUUAUAAUAGAAACAAGUCCUAAAAGACCCACUGUUAAACUUGAAGUGUAGGCUUCUUCCUAGAAAUAGUCCUUGGAUCGCAUGUGGGCUAGAGACAUGAUUUCAUACCUGCUAUUCCUGGAAUUUCUUUCCUGACCAUGAGCGCUACCUGGUUAUAACCCUUCCCAAAUGCACUUCCCGAAGGAGCCUUCUGAAAGAUCGGUGAUGGGUGUGAUGUUGCAAGCCUGAGGUUGCUUUGUCAACAAGGAAGAGGCUCUUUGUCCCCAUGUGAGCGUGAUAUCCGUCAAGCAAAACACAGUGUUAUUGAUACGGGUAUUCCAAGAGGCGCUGCGUUCCCAACAUGCCUCUUGCACAUUUACCUCCUCACACUGGUGUGCAGCAGCAAGAUGCUCAGGCCGCACAAGCAGGAAGAUGGUUGCAGAGCUGUAAGUGGGAUCAAGUUGCCUGUGUCUGAAAUCCAGCUUUCCCGCAGCUGCCGUGCUGGAGAAGGAACUGUUAACUUCAUAGCAGUGAAAGACGUUUGCAAGAGAAGGGUUGGGGAUGGUGAGCUAAACAGAACAAUAAGAUUUUAUAGUUGCAACAAAACCUCAAUUCUUUAACAAAAUGUCAUCUAUGUGUGACAGAGGACAAAGUCGUUAUGAAGCUGGAAGCCUAUGAAGUGGUGACUGAUGGCUUCAUUGUGUUUGGGACAAUUUCAGAAGGCAGUUCCUCAAUCCUUGCUGGAAGAGCCGUUUUUCCACUCUUCCUCAGGCCGGGAGCCAGGCUGGUCUUUCCCAGAAGUGAUGAAAAUAAGCAGCUUUAGCUGGAACUCUCCCGACACUUUCCAGCAAAAGGACUCUUCCAAUCCAGCCCCGCCAAACAAAAGCAUGAUUGUUUGCAGGCCCAUAAAAAUACUGUUUGCGGAUGUCAAGUGAGCAGCUUUCGAAGAGGAAGCCAGGUUUUGGUAGACGCCGGUCUCUAGUCACCAUCGGCGGCCGUCACGCUCUGGUGAUUCGUCCACAAAGUCGAUGGAGAAAGGCCUAGAAAGCUGUGCGGAACGCGUGAUUUCCUUCCUCUCCCAGGGCAGCAGUUCACGUGUGGCCCAAUGACCUUUAGUCCUAGAAGGGUGAGAGACUGAAGAGCUGACAGAGGUGUGUAUUCAGGGAAAAAGGCAUUGAAGUCUUACAUGUGUUUGCUUUUCACGCGUAGCUUAUUUCCAAACGAAGCAGGGGAAACAAAAGAAGUCAGAGCCUUGACAGAGCUCUUUCACACUGGGUGCUGUUGCUUACAACGUACACGAGCAGCUGGCAACUUGACAAGAAACCAGGACACUAACGGGACAGAAAAUCCCACACAGCUCAUUUUCUUUCUCUGCAGCUGACAAAUCCUGCCUGCAACAGGGUGCAAAUGGCUGUCGUGCUGCAGAGCGGAGCUGCUGCAGGAGUCUCUCUCCAAAUCCCCCUGCAAACACACCCUGGCUUUAUGACCUGCUGAAGAGCUACUUUCUCCACUCUAAGCCGAGUCUCUACCUUUGUGCAUAAACACGGGGAGGUCACUGGUGAACCCCAGGGCCUCCCGCAGGAGCCGUCGUGGUGAGCAGGACCUGUGCUGGGGCAGCCAGUGGUGCAGCUGCUGCCCGGUGCCGUCACAACUGCCCGGUGCCGUCACACCUGCCCGGUGCCGUCACACCUGCCCGGUGCCGUCACAACUGCCCGGUGCUGUCACACCUGCCCGGUGCCGUCACACCUGCCCGGUGCUGUCACAACUGCCUGGUCCUGUCACCCCUGCCUGGGCCCAUCACCCCUGCCCGGGCUCAGACCACGGCCAAAGCUGCAGCAAAGGAGCCGCAGGGCUCUGUAGCAACGUCCCUACACAAUGCUGGAUUUGGGGCUGCGUGUCUCUUGUUUGCAAAUGAUUUCUGCAGUUAUAGAGCAGGUGGCACCUUGAGGCUCGACAGCACAGAGUUGCCCAUUUCUUGCAGAACUCCGGGCCCGGGGCAGGUACCCGAAGGCAGCAGCUCCCUCGGUUUCGGUGGGGAAGCGGUUUCCGUGUCCCAGCAGGUGAGCAAUAGCGCGUGUGACCCAGCAGAGAGCACUGCACACCCGGACAGGGCUCUGCUCUGCCCACCCGUGCGUUCUCACACAUCCAUCCAACCUUUUUCACUGGGUUUUUUUAAAGGGCUUUCUUCCCCUUCCUUCCCCGUGCCUUCUUUCCUGACGAAUACAGCAACAAGUCAAACCAAUCGCAGCCUCUCAGGAGAAGCUGAACAGAUCCCGGCUCACUGGGAUACACACGGGGUCAGGGCACGGCGCUGCAGCCGCACUCAGCUCAGGUGUGAGCAUCGGUACAAAAUGCUGAGCCUGUCUUUAAAAAGCGUGUGGCCUUAAAAAUAACAUGAACCAGGUACCUUGUUACAUCUUGAUUUUGGUACGGAAAAAAUUAGAGAUCAUAUUCUCAAAAUUUCUGUAGAAAUAUAACAAAAUUCUGCUCCUCUUCCUUUGAGAUGAGAAUCAGCUCAGAUAAUUUUGCUCCAGAAUUGAGCUUUUAAGAAAAAAACUAUACUAAAAAAAUCCUCAACGUCACAUUUCUUAUGAAUUGCUAGACAGAACUGAUACUGAAAAGAGGAAACACGUCCCAUUGCACGAAACAUCCUCGCAGCUGAACGUGAGGAUCUCUUGAGGGGAACGCGGGGUCUGGCGCUGGGUGAAGAGCUCCACAGGGAAAGGGUCGUUGGAGAAGUUCUGUAUCCACACAGGUGGACAUCUUGAACUCAUUUCUUUUGGAGUCUGUUGCCAAAAGAGCUCAUGAUCUGGCCUGCGUACCGUUCUGGGGACAGUGGCGGUGUUGUUUCCAUCAACCCUCCAGGUCUGAUUGUGCCAAUUAGCUGCAAAGAGACCCUUCCUGGCCAGGGACAGCGUGUGUUCCGCUGAGCCGGGGCGGGUUGUUUUCCGAUAUUUAGUGCCUCGAGCCUCUGUCCCCAGAGGGUCACAUCGGAAGAUGCACACGUGUGCUGGCUGAGCGCCAUCCUGGCAGCUCCUCACAAACAGCAGCCCCGUGAGGUCAGUCCCCUUCCAGCCUCGCUGAUGUCUCACGAGCCAGUGGGCACAGCAAAUAAACCUUGUGGAGCCGCGUGGUGUUUGUCCCUUCCCCGGGGACACCGUGGUGACUCCACGCACAGCAUUGGUGCCCAUGGCAGCACAAGUGCUGAGCUUUUCCCGGCCCAGGGGGAGCCGUGGGCGCUCAGCUGGGCAGCACCGUGUGGGCCACACGGGGACGGGGUGCGCAGCCCACAGCAACCCACGGCACCGCACGAACACCAACCCGCCCUUUCUUCAUGGCAAGUCUGUCUUUGCUGCGGACGUGACUCAUCGGGAUCUGGUCACGCAUUGAUCAGGUUACUGUUGUGAUGGACUCGCUGUAGCUGGAUUUUCACACGGGGUGUGUAAGGGCAGUCAGGAGAACGUCCUCUGGGCAGUACGUCAAACUCACCUACCAUAGCGAUAGCGCUGAGAUCGGAGAGAUGGCAUCAGCAAUUUACAGGCCAGAUUUAGCGCCGAUUUAUAGCAACAACAGAAAAAAUGUACCGCCCACCUAAUUCUUGUUUGUUCUCAUGAGUGUGCUAAUUGUAGCUGCCUCACUUGAUUAAUAGGGUUGCAUGAACUGUGGGAUGCGUGUGGAGACAAUCCCGUGGUGCCUCCCUUUGUGCGGGGGUGGCCGGCUGGCUCGCAGCUGGUGCUGAGCGCUGGCGGGGGGCUGGUUUCUCAGCCGCCCCGUUCCUGGAGGAUGCUGAGUUCGGGAACGCCAGCAGCCCGACACAAAGCGGAGCAGCUCUCUGGCUGGGACGGCAGCACGCGGGAUCUCGGUCCCGUGACACGCCACAUCAGGAGCAAAGUUCUUCCUAAACUAAGUCUUCCCACUACUGUUAUCUGCAAUGGACCUUGGUGGGGGUUGAUUUUUUCUUUCCCCUGAUGCAAUUAAGAUGAAGCAAUAUUUCUUUUUUAAAUCUUUCCUCUGGACGUGUUUCUUCUGCCGUGACCUGGUCAAUAAUUAAUAGCGCCAUCAAAACAUACCCUGAUGGCUCCCGUGCAGGUGCCCAGGGAGAUGUGCAUUUACUCUGCCAACAGGGUAUAUAUUUUUUCCAUAUCAUUUCAAUUUAAGUUUUCCAUAUUCGUAUUUAUUCUGGUACAAGGUGCUUUUUUGCAUUUGGUGUUAUACCGUUUGAAAGCAGAUUCGGACAGUCUGCCGCAGAGGUGCUUCUCUUCUGGAGAAACAGAGAGGGAAGCAGCACCAGUAAAAUCUUCGAGCUUUAGUUAUACUGGUAUAGUUAAAAAGGAGACGUUUCCAGGGGUCAUUGACCUGGUGAGGUUUCUGGUUUGCCAUGUGUACGUAGCACAAUGAGAUUCCUGUGGCCUGACAUUGAAACAGUAACAAAAAAGCCAUAAAAAGAAGCAGAAAAAAAUGUGCUUGUUCUAGUAGAGCAGUAAAUGACACCCUAUACAUACAAUUUCCUUUUAUAAUUCACCUUUAAAGGAUAUGUGUCCAGUGUAGCUGCUGAAUUAGUAUUUAGCCAUCUCUCUUCAACUGUGGCAUUUAUUGACAAAAUAAAAAGGAACUCAAAGCUGCUGUUGACUUGCGUGGCUGGUUCACCAAUUAACCUUCUCUGAUCUGAGGAAUAAAAAUGCAGUCUUAGUGAUGCUUUGAAAUCGAGUCAUAUCCGCCCAAGCAGCUAAUCCUGUGCUUUCAGGAGGCAAAGGGUGAAUUCAAGGGCCAGACCAGCUGGCGCGUCACAACCCCCACGCUGCAGGGCGUACGAGGUCUGGAAAGAUUCAGACGGGAGAAAGCACAGCUCAAUGGCAGUUCAGAUCGGAAAGGGGUGGGAAGGAAGGAAAAGCUUCCUGCGGCUGUCUUUCCAGCUUCAAAUGCUCCUCGGCUCCUGUCUUUGGUUAUGGUUCUAACGCGGCUCCGGGAAGGGGCUGGUGUGCAGCUGGCAGAGGGAGCACAGCUGCGCACAGCUGGUCGGGGCUGACGGCCGUGUAACACGUGUGUUCACGGGGCAGCGGACCCGGUUCAGUGGGAGGUUGUCCCGCCGUGCGCGGGGCCGGCGGGGCCGGCUGCAGGCUGCGGGGCCUGUGGAGGCGCAGGGGAGCGCGGGAGCCGCGCUCCGUGUCUGCCAUGCAGCCCCGCUCUGCCAGCGCUAAGAGCCCAGAUGCGAAUAUCCUUCUCCUUGAUGCAACAAAGAGCUCGGCCAUCUGGAGUAAGAGUGAGCGUCAGGAUCUUCUGAUCUGUUAGAAACAAAUCAUAUCUGCCCCAGAACUUCUGUCUGGAAUUCAACUGGUUCUGCAAAGCAUAACCUUGCUGAUAACUAAUAUUGUUAGAGUGACUUCAACAAAGUUACUGAUUACUUAUCUGAAGUUUACACUGGCUGUCUUUUCACUCCAGUACAUCCAUAACGAAAGCUGUCUGAACCAGCUGAUUGCAGCUGGCUUUAUGUGCUGUGCGGAGGGUUUGCAAAACAAAACCACCCCGUGCAGCAGCCGGUGUCACACGGAACCGUCCGCCUCCCUCGGGGGUUCUAACCUGAAAUAAUCCAUGGCAUAAACAGCUUCUGCCUGACACCUUUACCGCAUUUCCCAUCUUACAUAACCUUUGUCCUUCAUGACAAUAUCGUCAUAUGUAAGGAGAAGAGGUCAUGGGACUUGUCCACCUAUUUCUGAACUGUCCCAAUGGAAGAGCUCAUUCAGUAUUAAAAAAAUAAAUCACAUUAAAUUCUUUACCCCUCACCGCAGGCCGCUGGUGGAUGGAGGUAGCGGGAAGCUACGUAGGGCUCUAUUUUCAAAUUAAAAGUGCUUAGCUCUCUGGUAUUUACACCACGAGGAUCCAACCUGAUCGUUCUAGGGCCCGUGUGACAGAGACUUUGGCAGUUCAAGCGCAGGCUUUGCCAGGGCAGCACCUGGGGGCUGGGGCCGGGCCGGCUUGUUAGCCCAGAUUGCCUUUAUUUUCCCUCAUCUUCUCCUUGACAGCUGUUGCUUAAAACACCUGGGAGGGAAUUUAUAUAAAGCCCAAGGUCUGUUUUCCUGAGGAAGCUCCUCUGCACCUCUUUGGUUCCUCCCUCCCAGGCUUCUUUGGGGAAUCCCCUUUUUGUGCCAGGCCAGUGCUGCUGCUGGGAUGCUCCCGCUGCUCCUGCUGCCCGUGCUGGUCCCGGCGCCCCGGCCACCUGCCGCUGCUCCUCUCCUGUAAGUCAUCGCUGCCUUGCUUGUGCUUCUGGAAAUGUUCUUGUCUAAGUCGAAACAGCAGCUUCAGUCCUCAAAGUUUGUGCUGCUCAGGCGUGCGGGUCUGUCGGAAAGUGCUGUUACGAGCAAAUGGAAGGGAGGCUAAAUAUGCACUGAGUAAAAAUAAGUCUUGUGCUAUUAGAUUCGUGGAAGGGCAUCAGACAUCACUCUGCAAAAAUGGUUAUCACCCAAAAGCCCCAGAGUCUUGUGGUGCUACAAGGAGCGCCAGCGGUAGUAACUUGUCUGUCACGGUGCUUCCCAACCAGGUUUAAUGUCCUCCCGGUGAUUCUCAAUUAUUUAUUUGUGUCUGUCUUCCUUUGCUUGGUUCUUCUGCUUCUGUCAGGAAAUUCUGCCAGCUGCCGCGUCAUCCCUUUUUCCUGUUCAUUGUCUCUGCUGUGUCCCCGUGUUCGCAAUAGCGGGAGGAGGCGAGCGGCGUGGCCGCGCGCUGCAGAACCAGCUCUGCCCUGCUGAGUGCGGACACGGCGCACGCUGAGGAACAGGGUGUAAAAGGGCUUGUGGAUGUUAAUCGCACUCAGCACAGAAGUACUCGUCAUGCAGAAUAUGUUUCUAGAUGGCUGUGAACAGAUCUAAGCCCAGUUGUGCUCAGCCCAGCAGAACAGCGCAGCAACACCAAGGUGCUGCUCGGUUCGGUUUUUCUUUGUGAGCUGUUUUAACUAGGCCAGAUGUGCCCCGUUUCCUGGCAAGCCGGGUUUUACCUCCUGAGCAGGUUCCGUCCCUUGUUCUGUAGUACUCCUUGGAGAGAGCGGAGCCGGUUGAUGGUGUUUGGAACCAGUGCUCAGGGAGAUCUUCCUGGAAAGGCGUCCUGGGUGUCUGGGCCGCGCUCCCUGGAGGAGAUCGCUUGCUGGCUCUUGCCAGUUGUCUCUCUGCUUUUGUUUAUGUGUAAAUAAAAUAAGCUAAACUGUAAAUAGACUGAAAUACCGCAUUACUUCUCUGUCAGUGAAGCUGACAUGCAGGUUUUGCCCCUUGACAACGCUGUAGCGAUAGACAGGGAGCAGCGGGGCUAUUUAUAGUUGUUUCAGCCGUACUCUGAGUUCUUUCUGCCUUCUCAGACUUUUUGUAGUUCACCCAAGGACCGAAGGACAGGAUCAGAAAACACACCUGCAGUGGGACCACACUGCUGGAGAAAAAGUGCCUUUGCAGCUCCAAGGCAUUCUGAGCUCCUAAAAUGCUAAAGGCGUGCCUGAGAAUGAAAUAAUCUCUUUCCUUGUAUUUAUUUUAUAUAGUGGUGUAGCUGGUGGAAGGUAGGAAGGGAUUAAGAUGCAUUACUUGAUCAAACGGGGUUGAGUGGAAUGUCCCAUUUUUGACAGUUGUGCAUCUUCCUUCCCCACUGAUUUCAGUCUGGGAUUUGCCACGUGGCAAGUUUGUGUCAAUGCAGAGGGAGUUUAAAAAGGUUGUAAUGCCGUGUGUCAUAAUCACCAGACACGUUUAACUGCCUGGACAUGUCUGGAUCGGGCCGUGAUGGUUCAGCAUCUGGCCUUGGCCCCGCCGCAGUUCUGCUCACCCCGAGCAGCGGCUCCGUGCUGCGCGCCCAUCCCGUGCCCGUCGCCCACCGGCACCACGGUUAAUCUGUAACCAGCCGCUGGCCCUGGCGGGAAAAGAAUGUGGGUCUGCUGUUUGCAAGUUGCAAAAUCCCUACCUGCUCCAUCCCCCAAAUUAUGUAACGCUUGGUAUGACAAGGGGCUUACAAAACAGUGCUCUGCAGAUGGAGCCAAGCGCUGCGGUCAGGGUACGCGCUGCUACCAGCUGUGGCCACCACAACUCCCACCACUCACGUCCGACACUCUGCUCGCGCAGGGAACACUCGCCUCUCCGAGACUUUUGCCCUCUGUCUGCCUAACGGGUCUGAAGAUCUUGCUGUAGCUCCCCACAGUCAGUGUCCCCAAGACUCGUGGGCUGUGGCUCCAACAGGACAACGGCACCGAGUCCCGCAGCAGCACAGUCGCACUAGGGCUGCUGCACACACAAAGUGUCGCUGAAUCACCAGAUGCGGUAUCAGGAAGUUUUUAUACAAGUUUUUAAUAAAAAAAUUCAACAAAAAAAUAUAUAUAAUCAGGCAUUUUAUGCAAUGCAUACAUUCUUUAUAUCUGCAGGUACAGAUAAAUAACAGAAGGCAAAACCAAGUAUUUUGCUUAUCUUUGGCCAUUAACCAAUAAUCAACCCCAAAGAGAUAUUAUAGGGUUAAAGAAUAAUAAACUGAGUCUGUAAAUUUCUCUCAUUACAGACAAAGUAUCAGGCAAUAAUACAGUAGUUAGAUUUUUAGAAAUGUAAGGAAAUAGUUCUUUAACGCUGCCCAAUACUGAAAUUCACCUGGUUUGCUGCUCUGGAACUCGAGUCUUCCCUUAGCUGACCGUUCUGGUUGCAUCAGAUCCGCUGCAGCCCUCGCCUUAACCCGCUUCCUACAGCACACGCUGCUCUCAAACACCAAACUGAACCUCUCUGUGGAAUAAACUCGCAGGCAUUCUCAUCUGCGGAUCAGUUUCCUGAACCCCAACCAAUGUACGUCCAUGCAGAGCAGUUCAGCUUCCUUAGGCCAACACUGUUUCUAGCUCAGUGUCCCACAAUAACAGCUAUCCUUCCACCUUACAGCACAGACGCAUCUGACGGCUCUACCAAAGCAAUA